rnacentral:lncRNA from 1 species
CAGCAUCUCUGAAUGCUUGGAAAAUGACAAUCCUCUAGGUGAUUCUUCAUCUCAAUCUUCAUUUUCUUCAUUAAUUUUCAUUACCUUGUAGAAACUUCAGUUUAGAUUGUUGGGGUUCGAACCGUAUAAAUAAUGAGAUAAUAAAAGUGGAGAAGAACAAGUACAAAUAUUUUACGUGGAAAACCCUUAAAGAGGGAAAAUCCACGGGCGACUUUCCACUAAAUGAGUAAACAAACGAGAGUAAAAUAUGGAGAAAAUAAACCUAAAUGUACUAAACAUGCAUUACCAAAC